ACAGGGAGUGAUGUACAGACAGGACGUGAUGUACAAACAGGAAGUGAUGUAAACACAGGAAGUGAUGUAAAUUGGACGUUCCCGGGUAAUUGAGAGCAAGACGUUGCUUGAUCUGGCAGUAAGGGAGGUUCCUAUAAGGUUGUCAGGAUUUCUCAUUUUUCCGUGGAGGAGUGUAAGUGUUUAGAAGGACACAAGGAUAUCUACAUGGACGUCCUGAUGGAGGAUCAGCCGCCCCUCACAUCACCGGAUGGAUCCGGUAAUGGGAACCCACCAGAGAGAUGUCCCCG